rnacentral:rRNA from 1 species
GAUGAACGCUGGCGGCGUGCCUAAUACAUGCAAGUCGAGCGAACGGACGAGAAGCUUGCUUCUCGGAUGUUAGCGGCGGACGGGUGAGUAACACGUGGAUAACCUACCUAUAAGACUGGGAUAACUUCGGGAAACCGGAGCUAAUACCGUAUAAUAUUUUGAACCGCAUGGGUCAAAAGUGAAAGACGGUCUUGCUGUCACUUAUAGAUGGAUCCGCGCUGCAUUAGCUAGUUGGUAAGGUAACGGCUUACUAAGGCAACGAUGCAUAGACGACCUGAGAGGGGGAUCGGCGGCACUGGAACGGGGACGCGGUCAAGACUCCUGAGGGAGGGAGCAGUAGGCAAUGUGACGCAAUGGGGGAAAGCCUGGCGGAGCAAGGCGGCGUGAGUGAUGAAGGUGUUCGGAUCGUAAAGCUGUGUUAUUGGGGAAGAACAUAUGUGGAAGUUGAUGAGGAGAUCGUGACGGUAACUAGUAAGAAAGCACCGGCUAACUACGUG